UUUCAUCAAAGAAAGCGGAAGUAUUUCUAUACUUUGUCUCAAACAAUCUAAUACAACUUUAGAAUAAAACUCUUGGGACACAGCCCAUACAGUAGUCUCAACAUGAAAAUAAAAGACAUAAAGGAAAUGGUGGGUUUCGUCCUCGAAGCUAUGAGGACUCACCAAGAUCUUCAACUCCUUAGCUCCUUAGAAACCUAGCUCCAAGAAUAGCACUCAAGUCUCUAAACCCUACAUUUGAUUAGAAUGUAGGCAAAGUAUGCCUUAGUACAAAAUGUACUAAAUAUGUUAGCUAGCAUAAUCAUAAGAUAAUAAGACAAGGGUUA
rnacentral:lncRNA from 1 species